rnacentral:lncRNA from 1 species
UCUAAUACUAUACUAUAACAUGAUGAUUAUUUUACUAGCAUUCCUAUAUUCAAACUAAGUAGAGAAGAUGGGGGAUAUGAUACGAGAGUACAAAUAAAAAGUGAAUGUCUUCAUAUCAAAAAUAUAUUUUCCCUUUGAACUUCAUAUACAUGAAUGUUGAGUCGAUACCUGUAAUAUAGCAGAAAACCAAGCCUAUGAGCAAAUAUGGAGGUCAGCUAGCAAACAAACAGCCAAUAAAACAGGAUUUCCAAAUUUCAGCAGAGUGUUGGAGAGCUAAAUCUUCAUAAAAUAAUUCAAAACAAUCCUAAUGGUAUUUUCAGAUCUAGAAUUAGUAUUUCAGCUUUAGAAUUGUAGAGAAAAGUUCCAGAUCAGUAUUUUCAGCUCUAAUGUUACAUAUAAAGGUUUCAGGAUCCCUUUCAAUGCCCCCAAAUGGUUUUAUUUAUAGCAAAACAGUUAGGGCAUCAGAUUUUUACUAGUUUCUUUUUAGUCCUCAUUUCAAAUUGUAUUUUUAUCCUUCAAUUCUUAACUUGUGCCUCAAGUUUGAGGCUGGAAUUAUAUAUUAGUCCCUACUAGAAGGUUCUAAAAGACUCUCAUCGGAUUUUAAAAGACUCAAAUUCCUUUGUACAAUUACUAGCUUUCCUAAAUUACCCUACCCCUGAAUUUGACCCCAGUCAGUUUUUUUAACCCUGGUUCAGCUCUAAUUAACCUUGGCUAGUUCUUUGACUCCAAUUCAAACACAAUCGACCUUGGUCGACCAAACUUGGGUAAAAUUUAGAUUAGCAGACUUAUGAAAAAUAAAAAUUAACCAAAAAUCAAGAGACUUCUAUACAGGAUUAAGAGAACAAGGAAUCAAAUAUCCAGAAAGAAUGCAUAUAUCUAUCAAACUUAGCUUUAAAACAUGAUUCAAUCAGUGAUAUUAAGAAAUACUUAAGAACAAGAAGAAAAAACGAACAAUCAGCUUAUGAAUCAAAGCCUUAGGAACAUGAGUCAACUAAGCAUACCAGAAAUUAAAUAAAAUCAGCAGAAGGAAGUCAAUUGAGCCCUAAAAUCAUAUUACUGAAGACUAAACAAAAUUUCUUUCUAAAAUCAGGGGGCCAAUACUUAGCAAGAUAUCUGUAUUAUCAAAGAAAGGCUUUCAAAUAGGUGACAAACAGUCAUAUGAAUAUUGAACCUAUUUUCAUAUGAGCUUGUGGAUAAACCACAACCAAGAGAGAAUCUCAAAGAAGUUCAGACUAGUCAUAUGAUUAUUGAACCUAUUUUCAUAUGAGCUUGUGGAUAAACCAAAAAACAACCAAGAGAGAACACCAAAGAAGUUCAGACUAUUACACAUGCAACUACAGGACCUAAACAAUCAUUACAAACAAUUAAGUACUUAGUCAGCUGGAAAUGAAAAAUAUGCAGGAACACUUAGCUUUCAUUGUUUGUUCUGGAGAAUGUCAGGACCUAAACAAUCAUUACAAACAAUUAAGCACUUAGCGAGCUAGAAAUGGAAAAUGUGCAAGAAAACUUAGCUUUCAUUUUUGCUCUCAUUUAAACUAUCCAGUUGGACCUUGAUUCGCCCACAGGGAUUUUGAAACUCCUAGGAUGGUGUUCAAUCCUUUUCAGAGUUCAGGGGGGUUCAUGAAGUCCUAAGACCUUAAUGGGUCUCAGAUUUAGGAUUUUGAGCGCUUGGGAGUCGUUUGAGACUUGAAGGUGGCAUGGUUGGUGUUAAGGAGGGUCAAAGACUGUCUGGGAGAGCUUUGAGGCUUUUCUGGCAAGUUUUGGAUUUAGGGUUUAGCUUCGGAUGAAGAUUCAAGGAGUUCCAUUGGGAUUUGAGGGUUGUGAGGUGCAUGGUUGGAAUGAGGAAGUCAGGGUGUCUCAGUGGGAUGUAAUUUUGGACGACUUUGGAAUGAGGUCACCGGAGAUAGGGUUUCCAGUGAUCUUUGAACGGAUAUUCGAGUCGGAGGGGUGGUGUUCGAAAGGAACUGAUUAUGGGACAGGGUAGAGGAGGCCAUGGUGGUAAAAGGGUGUAAUUUUGGUGUCGUUUGGUUGCCGGCCGCCGCCGUAGGACGAUUCCCGUCGGCGGUAGUAAGGUGGUAGGCUAGUGGUCAAAGGUGGUGACAGGGUGGUCAAUGGGUGGUCGGUGGUGGUCAAGGGACGGCGUCACAGCCGGAGAUGAGGGUACGAGAAAGGUG